rnacentral:rRNA from 1 species
UACGUAGGUGGCAAGCGUUGUCCGGAUUUACUGGGCGUAAAGAGCGCGCAGGCGGUUAUUCAAGUCGAAUGUGGAAGCCCCCGGCUUAACUGGGGAGGGUCAUUCGAUACUGUUUAACUUGAAGGCAGGAGAGGGUAGUGGAAUUCCCGGUGUAGUGGUGAAAUGCGUAGAUAUCGGGAGGAACACCAGUGGCGAAGGCGACUACCUGGCCUGUUCUUGACGCUGAGGCGCGAAAGCUGGGGGAGCAAACGGG